rnacentral:lncRNA from 13 species
AUGACGGUGGAAACAUCAUUGAAGAAAAGAACAAGAAAGAUAAAAGUGUCAGUAGGAGAGAUACCGACGACCUUUAAAAGGGAGAAGGAGGAAGGUGGUCAUUUAUGCAGCAUAGGCACCUUAGGAGGUGGUCUUGGAUCCGUGGCCCAUUGUCUUGUCAGCACACGGGCCGAGCGCAAGAGAGAGCAGAGGCAGAAUCUGUUCAAGGCUGAACUAAGAAGACAGAAAUGGGAAGGGUGCUGGUAUGACAAGAGAAGAGACAAGAAAGAGGAGAAAAGGGAGAAGGAAAAGCUUAAAGAGGAGAAGAUAAGGAUGGCCUCUGAAUCACUCCAGAGUCUACACAUUUAUUUCUCCUGAAGUAUAUUAAUACAAUUAUUCAACUUUUGUUAUGUUCAUCCUGUCAAACAUUCCAUUCAAGGUAGUGACAAAUAAUCGUCCAGUCAGUCUAGCAGUCUAGUGAAGAAGAGAUAGCUAGCUAGCUGAAGAUCCUGUAGUUACACCAAAGAUAGGUUACACAUUUAUGGCAGCCAACAGCAGUGAAAAAAAGCAGGUACCAUCUACCUUAAGCUUAAUAUUGUCAUGUAUUGUCAUGUUGUGUCUUGUUUCUGUCCUUUCCUUUCACCCUGUCUCCCUCUGCUGGUCGUACUAGGUUACCGUUUCUGUCCCUCUUUCCCCCAGCUGUUCCUUGUCUUCUCUGACUACCUCAUUCACCCCUUUUCCCACCUGUUCCCUUUUUCCCUCUGAUUAGGUCCCUAUAUCUCUCUCUGUUUUUGUUCCUGUCCUUGUCGGAUUCUUGUUUGUGUGUCUCAUGCCUGAACCAGACUAUCAUCGUGUUUGCUGCAACCUUGUCCUGUCCUGUCGGAAUCUACCUGUCCAUCUGAGCCCACGUGUGUUCAUCAUUAAAGAAACUCUGUUUGUUAAUUCGCUUUUGGGUCCUCAUUCACGCACCUGACAGAAGAAUCCGACCAAGAAUGGACCCAGCGACUUCGGAUCCUCUCCACUCAGCCG